AGGAGUAGGUUUACAACUUCUGAGUCCAGCAGCACACACCCCCUUCUCUUCGUGUAUCCUGGGUAACACACGACCAGGGGAACAGAGUAAUGAUUCUCUAAAUAUCUGAUCAAUCACAGGAAAUAGCUGGCACACAGUCGCUGCUAAUCUUCAAUCUGAGAUCGGUUGCAUGGGAGAAUUUUCUUACUUCUUCUCUCCAUGGUUAUAAUCUGGCCGCAAGGUUUUUUUUAAAUUGAGAUCACAUCUGAUAAGAGAUUAAGGACGUGAUAAGAAGCUGUUUUAUAUGAAAUUUAAGAGGCCAUUAACAUUCCAUUGAAUUGUAAAAUUGUCAAGCUAAAAACAGCUCUCCUGGUGUUCUGCACAGAUGCAAUAGCAGAUCACUGAGUCACAGGAAAUGAUUCAGUCAACAUUUCUAAACUUUCAAUGUGUGUUUUAUGGAAGAAACUUGAUGUAAAUGUUUAGACAGUUAUGGUUUUGGAGAUAAAUAUUACAAUUUUAUGGAGUUUGGGGUCUGACGUACCAGAAUUGUGAUGCAUGGUUGUCAAUUUGCUGAACAUCUAAAGCUGUUUGAUUGUUGUAUCCAGUUCCAGCGUGGGAUGUACUUUCUUUGGCUAAUGAAAUACAGCGUUGUAUUUGUGUAUAACAGAUUACACAUCAGAAAGUCCAAGCUAGAUUAAUGACCUGGGAUUCCCUCUGCACUGCUUCAGGAGAACUUGUACAGACCUCCACACAGUUCCCUCAAGCUUCUUGUCACCCUGUAAAUACAGUGCUUCAGUGGUACGACCUCCCACAGCAGGUUAUCCUCGGCCCUCAAUGUCCUCGCUGGGUAAACUGCUUCUGAAGGAAAGCCAUCUUACUUAUCCAAGGCACCAAGAGGACCUGCGUCUGGGCACUGAGAGUUGUGUAUCUGUGUUACAUGUUGGAACAGUGUGACUGUAAGAUUAAGUCCCUGUCUGCUACUGGUUGGUCUUGGACAUCUUCAGAGAUGAUUCCAGAGGAUCGCUGGCUAUCUGCAUGGCAAGAAACACUUCUGUGUUAGCUGUCAGCACACAAAUUGAUCUGUCAGAUGUAAAGGAUCUUUAAAUGAUAAUGUAAAGGAAAGGACUGGAUGGCAUAAUUUCAGGAAGCUGUCCAGAUGCAAGGUGUGUAUUUUGAAAUGGAGCUGUAGUCUGGUUUUGAAUAGACUCAAACGUUUGUGAUUUAGUUGGGAUAUGUAUCGGAAUGGAUUGAUCUGUCUGUUUUCUUUCCAUGUAUGUGUGGAGAAACUUCCUUUACCUCUUUAACAGAAGAUUUUUGGAUGCCUCUGGUAUGUCUGGAGGGGUGACAGCACUGUGAAAUUGUAUUAAUUGAUGUUAUGUCCUCUUCCUCAGAACAUGCCAGUUUCAUUAGAAUUCAUGACUUGAAACAGCAAUAGGCCACAAUAUGCAUGCAUUUGCAAUUGAAGGACUUGCUGUAGCUAAAGAAUUCACACAAAAUCAUGUGAGAGGGAGACAGGCACAUGACCAGCUUUGAAUGUAUGCUUCCCACACAACAGAAACCGCAAAUAUGUGCAAUUGAUGAACAGCUAAACCAAAUGCUGUGUUGGUGGCUGCUGCAAUUUCACGUAUGGUGCUCUGCUUGACCACUUACUCUGCUUGACCACUUGCUCUGCGAGUUCUACGAGAAGGCUGUAUUUGUUUCAGACCUUCCAGACCUUCCUCUGGCACAGUAGUCCUACAAACAACUCCUUGUUUUCCCAUUUUUUUGACCCUAUUGCCAGGCAGGCCAAGGAAAAGGGACUACCAUGGGCUGUACAUCUGAAGUUGACCUCUGCUGUCUGUUUCCUUGUCAUACCAAGCAAGAGAUAAUACUCUGCUGGGAAUAGUUUCACCUAGAAGAGACAGGAAGUGUCUCAAAACAGUAUGGUAAAUCUUCAAGAACUUGUCUGCCAGCUGUCUUGCAGGAAGCAGAAUCAAGGAAUGGCCUGGUAAUCAAGGGUGGCUGGCUGGAAACCUCCUCUGCCUUCUCCUGUACCACUGGCACUCUUACUAUGACUUACUUAAGUGACAGGAGCAUAGCUCUGUUCCUAGGAUAGCUGCCUCAUCAGUGUCUCAGUGAGUCUGCAGUAACAGACCUGUGAUCCAGAAGGAAAAACAGAGCUAAGGAAAUGAGAUACGGGAGGCUUGCAAGGCUGCAGCUGAAACAUCAAAUCAUAGCUACAUCGUACACACACCAUAUAUCUCCUGGCUUGGAGUUUAAACUGUUAACCAGAGUACCACAGGCAAGCAAGACCUGCUCUGUGCAUCUAUCUGUGUUUAGGCACAUAUGUGUUUGUAAAGCACUGGAAAAGCCUGGGACAGAAGGAGUCACACACUGGCCACAUACAUAGGGAAGGGAAAUGCAGCUUGUGUUGUGUUUUCCCAGUCACAUUCAGAAAGUUCUGAGGCACCAAUGCUCAUUAGGAGGACUUCUCAGUCCCCUCUAACAGUACCCAGAGCUCCUGAGGAAUGCUAUGUCACUUACCCUUGCUGCCUGAAAUACAGUUUUAUGUGAACUUUCCAACCCUCAGGUGGCUUCUAUCUAAGGAUUCAGUUGUGUAAUUAAUUGUUACCUCGCCCCAAUUAAAUGGAUGAUCACAAAAGCAAUGGUGUUUAAUCACAAAGCCGUUAGGAGCAGUUUGGCAUGAGGUGGAAUUAUUUUGUCAGAUUUCGUUCUAAAACGAUAGGGGAUGGAAGCUGUGAAGGUGUGACACACCAGCUGCACAGAAUAAGCCUUUCUGCAUCUCUCCUUCCUGAGCAGGUAUGUUCUGAACCAGUAUGUUCUGAACCAGUGGAACAAAUGUUCUGUGCUCUCAAAGGCAAAGACUGCCUUGGAAACCAAAGUCAAACCCAAAGAAAGGAAACGAAGGCCACCCAUUUUGCUACAGACCUCCAUCUCGUUUCUGGUGUCCUGUCUGAGAUUUUCAAAUAUAUGAUAAGUUACUGCAUGGUGGCUGGAACUUUUAAUUCAUUGAAAAUCUAGUGAUCACUUCUGAUAAGGAACAACAAUGGGUACUUCUUUCUGUGGUUUUGAAGAUCUCUACUUCCAGUAUUUCUACUGCUGAUGAGAUUUCAGUCAACUAAUUUGCUGGUUUUAGCCUAUGAGAAAAGGAAUUUCCUUGAGGCAAAUGAAGCAACUGUUCUUAACAGUUUUGUCUUUUAACACUUCAAACACUCUUCAGAAAAUGGACAGAUGAACUACUUGAGAGAAGUGGUGGUAUUUUAGCUGAACUGCUCUUUUUCAUUCUUGGUGAACUUAAGGAAAGGGGUCUGCACAAAUGUCUGAAAGAAAACUACUAGCUUCCUUCAAUUACUGUCCCCUUACAAGAGCUGCACUUGAGUGACUAAGUUAAAUAACACAAGCAAAAGAUGAUGAUUCAUGCUGCUUUUCCUGAUAGUUUCUAAUGCUCAAAAGCCAGUAUCACAGCUGCAGCUUUGAAUAAUUGCGUGGGGAAGAGAAUAAAAUUAUAGUAGGUAUGUUAGCGUAAUGUUCCCAAUGUGCAGCCCGUGUAUGUGAUUACCUAAUAUUCCUUACCAGCUGUUUCUUAACAUUAGUCAUAGUGAUCUAAAACAACCACCCUCUCUUCAUUUAUCUCAGUAAACAUUGUUCUUUUUGAAGAGGUAAGCUGUUUAGGAACAAAAGUUGUUCCCUUCAGCUCUUUCGUGUGCAUGUCGUAAUUGUCUUGAAUUGGAUGCAGCUAUAGCCAACUUCAUAGGUAACAAACAGCGAAGAAGCAUUUAAAUAUGGUAAUAGCUAUAUUUGAGUAGCGUUAUGAACGUGUUUCAUAAUGCGGUGGGGAAAAAAAAGACUUUGUUCUCGUGCCAGAAGAAAACAAAAAUAAAAUAAUUAAAUGUUUUCAGCUUUUUGUUUAACGCUGCAUUCCUGUCUUCCCAAACGGCACUGAGAUUUUGCAAUUCAUUCUUUGCCUUCUCAUUGGAAGUUCCUUAUACUGUUUAACUGUUUUGGCUUUAUUCCAGACUUGUAUGGCUGUCAUUCAUAACCUGCUAGCAUCUUUGUAUUCGUUUGCUUCUACACCGCUUACUGAUGAUGAGCUGUGCUUUCUUUCAUUUGACCUCCCAAUAAACUCAGUGGUAUGUGCAUUCCCAAAUGCACUGGAACACAUUCAGUGCAGCAAAAUACUGCUCAGGGAGAGUAAAAUCUGUUCAAGGUGAGUCCAAAGGGGAAAUGGCAGGAGUGCCGGUGAGACUGAGGAGGAAGCAAGUGAAGACAGGCCAGUGACCUGCCUCAACAGGACAAGUUGCAAACUGAAACAUUAUUAUAGCUGAACCCACAAGACUUGCUCCUUCUUCCAGGAGAAGGCCAGAGUCAAGACAUAAAAUGACAUUGAGGGUCAUAAGCUGAUCAUAAGUGACCUGGUCUGGGCCAUGUGAUCUCUAAGAGUGCUUUGUUUUUGUGUUAUAUGUUUGUCUAUAUGGGCAAGAUUGUGGUUUUGAUUAGCAUUAAAGCGAUUAUUUCUCACUGCUUGGUCUCAGGAAAGACUGGAUUAGUUCAUAUUGUGCUAAGUGGAAGCCAAAAUUUCCUACCUGUUCUAGAGGACAGAACAGAUGGAUAAGAAUGCCUUCUUGACAGCUACCAGCAGUAAGAAAGAACUGGAAAUAUAAGGCGUUCAUGAAACAGAAUUUAGUGAAUGUUUGGAUUUGUUUAUGAAAAAGCACUGAGGAAAUGUUGUUUAAAAACUUGAAAAACAGUCAACCCAGAAGGCAAACCAUUGUGGCAAAAUCAUCAAACUUGUAAUAUAUGGAUGUAAAAUGUACAUUAUUUGAUAGUUUGAAGUCUAGUAAGUAGUAGUAUAGCCCAAAUAUCAAGGAAAAAUACAGAGAAGGGAUCAUUUGGGGUUUAACUAAAGGUGGGGAGGGCUUAUUAAUAUAUGAUGUAGUGUAUACGUCUCUUUAUCACUGUACAGAUGGCGUGAAAUUGAGGUUGAUUUCCAUACUAGAAAAAAGAAAGUGUUUUCUUUUGUCUUUCUGCUUGCCUACUGAAGCAGCAUCUGCUUCUCCUUCCAUUGGCAUUGUGUUCUGGCCAAGCUGAUGGGCAACACAGAAAAGCCUUCUGAUUUUGGACUGCGGUUUUAUGUACUUUUAAAAUGGUUGAUAGAACAACCAGCAACUAAAAGAUAUUCAGGUUAUUUUCAAGUAGCAGUACCUGCUACUACAUGGCUGAAUAGCCAGAGCUUUUCAUUCAUGAUAAUGCCUGCCUAGAAAAUGGAGUGUGCCAUUUAUACACAGCUUUCAGAACUGGAGUGCAUUGGUCAGUAGAACACAUUUUACUUUUAAACUUAUUUAAUAUAUGGUGGGUAUCAAUAUGAAGUAUGGUCAGUGUUUCUCUUUGUGCUUCCCAUUAGCUGCUUGCUGCAGCACAAGAAAGGGAUGUGUCAACUGAAGCUUAUGUUAGGAAACCUGACAGCCUAAAAUCCAGGGCAUAGUGCUCAAAUACAGAACUCACAUCUUUUGUAUAGGUAACCAGCUGUUAUUUAACAAAAAGGUACCAGAUAAUUAUUCAUAGUGAAAAUAUUUUCAGUGAGCGCAUAAGCAACGAGCAUAUCUGUUCUGGAAUACUUUUAAAAACAACUGUGUAAAGGCAGUUUGUUUUUGAGGACACAAUCCAGUGUACUCACACUCCUGCUGUUGACUCUGCAGUAUGUUACAUGAAAAGUAACAACGAUAGCAUCUGUUGUCAUCACAGGAUAUUUUCAGCAGACCAUUAACACACAUCCCAUACACACAGCCUUUCCUUCUCCUCACCUCUUCCUCUGAGAUAACUGCCCCUUCUUCAGUGUAAACAUGUUGUGUUUACAUAACCUGAACUCCAGAAGUUGAAAGGCAUUCAUAACAUAUCUGGAUCUUCUGCCAAAUCCUUCUUGGCUGGAAGCAUGCAAAAUGCUUUGGUUGGGAAAUCCUCAGCGUUCAGGGCUCUUGAAAAUGAGUAGUCGCUUCUCUUUAGUUUACCUGAUUCAGCAAGGAAGUUCCCUGUAAACAAAAUGUUAAUAUUUCUGAGAUGGCAGCAAAGGCAGCAGCCGCCCUCCUGCAUUUCUACAAAACACUUCCUUUUAAUCUGAUUGAAUCAAAGAAGGGAUUAAAAAACUCGAAUCUCAAUUCUUUGCUCUUUUUCUUUCCUUUUGUACUAGUUAAUAAGUUAGUGAUAGACUCAUAAGACAUGCUCCCCUCACUCAAUGCCCAAAUAGAUAAUCCUGCUGUGGAAUUUACCUUUUAUUGGUGGAGACUUGCCUCAUAGAAAAAUGAUGAAAUAGCAACUAUUUAUCAUCAAGCUAGCACAGACUGGGAGAACCUACUGCAAUGGCAUAUCUUGGCUUCUUUUUCCACUUUUUGUCAUCCAGUCUGUGGGUGUUUGGUUAUCACUCAAAGCUCGACUGGGUUUGAUUCACCAAUCACUUGAUCUCUGGCUUAUCAGCACUUUCUAUCAUCAAUCUCAAUGCAACACACAGGGUUACAUCUGUACAUCUAGUCAGCAAGGUCUUCUACUGCUUCACACAUCCUUUUUCCUUAUAGCCGGAAUUAUCAACAGUAGUGUAACACAGUGUGUCAAGACCAUUCAGAAAAUAAGAAUUCAAUGACCUGUGAUUAAUUGCUGAUACCUCGGGUGAUUCCUUCCGCCAAACUGUAUUUCUAUAAAUUCUGGUUGUUUCCUAGGGCAUAGUGCUUGAUAGUCAUUGACAAUCUUGAUGAUCAUUGACAGUCACCUGAAAUUGCUGUCUGUAUUGACCCUCGUGUAGGCAAAACUGCCUAUUCAGUAACCUUAUCCUCCAUCAUCUGGAGAGAGUGUAAUUGAUAUGUCUGUACUGUGUGACUGCUUGAAGUGACCAUAAUGUUCAAAACAGCUUUUGGGUCACUACUUCUGUCUGUAAAAUAAUGGUAGUACUCAGAACCUCACACUAAAAUAACUCUUGUUUUUACACUGAUCUGCCCUGUCAGUAUCUGCAAAUCCCCUUGUCCUUGACAGCAAUUUGCUGGAUGAGGGAGUAACAGGCUCUUUGUGAUACAGUUCAACCUAUGCAUCAUUGCAAGCUGUUCCUUUGUUACUAAUUGGUGGCUUACAAUGAAACAGCAUUACAUCAGAUGUAGCGCAGCUAGAGAAAGUUGUAGAAAGACAUCUUAGUAAUCAUAUUGCAGGGGAAUCAUAGAGUAAGAGCAUGAAGUUUACAGACCAUCUCCUCUGCAGUAAGGAAACAGACGGUGUUCUCACCAUCACUUGCUGAGACUUUGCAGUCUGGUCUCAUCUUCAGCAGCAGUCUCCAAAAGAAACAGCUGUUGUUUCAUCUAAUCCUGGUCUCUGGUAAGUAAAGCACUGACCAAGAUGAACAUUUCUGAUUGCUCACACUGCCAUGUAGAUCUCCUGUAUUCAUGAUACUGUUGUAAGAGCAAAAGUCCUUUUUGAAAAUGUUAGUGAGCGGUUCAGUUUUGCUCACAAAUGCAUUACAAUUAAAGGGAGAAGAGGCAGUCAUGCAUUCAAGCCACAUUUUAGCCUGGCAAUGAGAAUAAACAGCCACCAGGAGCAGUUAUUCUGUGUGACUUUGGCAAGUGCCAGAACUGUAGUGCUGGAUACAUAAAUUUCAUGUAAAUGAAACAAUAAACCUGACAGGAAAGGCAAUAUAGCUAAAAUGAGGUCUUUUGAUAAUGUGCCCUCACUGCCAGAUAAGGAAGAUACAGAAAGCUUCCUGGAAACAGUGAAUUAGGUGGUAAAAUGUGCUUAGGCCUCCUGCUCCACUGCUGCCAAGUGUAACUGUUGUACUACUGAGCAAAGACAUUCAAAAUGGAACAGUCUGGGAGGUGAGAUACGUUGGAAUGGGAUGGAGAAGGUGCAGUUUCUUCCCUGUUAUGUGUCCCAGAACAUAACUGACAUCUCAGGUGGGUAUCUGCAGUGCAUGGUAAACUAUCUCUAACACAAUAUGUACCAUUUUGUCUGUAUUCAAGUUACAGAUUAACAGUGAGAAUUAAAAGACUUUUUAAUGUUUUGCAGAAUGACUGCCACAUUUUGUAUGGCAGAAAAUAAAACACCAAUAGUGGUCAUACAGUAGUUGGGAGCAAUGCUGCCCUUUACCCUGAAACUUCAUGAGCUAAAAUUCUGUCUUUAGUGCCAUGUCAGAACUCAUGGGCCCUUUUAGCCUUAUAAACCUAUGAAUUACUUCAAUAAAUGUAACACUUGGCACACUGUAGUUAUUAAUUCCAAAACCAGACACAGAGUUCUUUUAUAUUUGUGUUACAGCAUACAGAUAUAAAGAAAUGAGAACAGGGCCGGCAAAAGUAGUGACACUUAGAAAGUAGAACAUAUAAGAAAAGAAACAAUAAAAAGUUAUAAGAACAUAUUAAUCACAGAGUCUCACCAUCUGUUGACUCCAUAUAUAUACCCCAUCCUACUGUUCCAUAUGGUACUUGAAGAUAAAUACAUGUAUUGAUGGAUAACAAGUGAAAAAUAGCACACAAAAGGUCUCACACACACAUAGUAAAUAAGCAUAUGGCAGAAUGACCCCGUUUUGGUUUAUCUGGUAUGACCUCUCAGAAUACACAGAGAAGGGAAGAGAAGUGAUCAGAAAGUGAGCAAAUGUGGCAUUAAACAGACCUAGUGACUUCAGCUGGUGAGAGUUCAAAAACACAAGCUAUAGAAGGAACCCUAACUGAAUAUACAGUCUACAAAUAUUAAACCUCAAAAAGAAUGGGAUGUCACACAACCACGGAGCCCUGCCCAAGUGCUCUGUCAGUGCUCAUCUAUCACUCUCUUCUAUACACAACCAAGUGCAAGUGACUUUUUCUAUAACAGAACCUGUUUUGUUUUUUAUAUAAAGACUUCUAAGUGGUGUUGCACUAGAAGUCAUUGAAGACGCUGUUCUGUGGACUGUGGAGAAGAAGUCUGAGGUGGAGAGUCUCUGCUUCCUCUUCUUCUGCAGAAAAAUGCCAAACACAUAGUUCUACAAUCUUUCGGGAUUUGUUAUACUUGUAAUUAAUGAAUGGAUAGAUUGUUUAGAAUUGUUUGCAUUUCAUUCUGGGGAAACAAACAAACAAACAAACAAACAAUGAUGGACUUUGUCUUCUGUAAAUGGUAGCAGUUCCUGAACAAGUUUUCAGAUGGAAUCACCCAUCACAUCAAGGAACUGGGGUGUGCUGUACAGGUACACCCUACUUCCAAUAUCAGCCUGUUUGUAACAGACUUUUCUGAGUUGGAAGGGAUGUCAUGCAAAUUUUAUUGUUUUAGGGACAAUUCUUUUCAUUUGUUCUCUCUCUUGUGCCUAUGUCAUUUGUUUUGACUUCUGUGCCAUGCAGAAGUGAUGAGCCUCUGGCCAUUGGUUACCGCAGUUUCCAUGGCAGCUGCAGAGAUUAGUUUGGAAAGCAGUUGACUCUUGCUGAAAUCUUUGAUCUUUAUUUCUUAAUGAGUUGAACUCAGUGUUCAAGUAUUUACUAUAUUUCUGUUCCUAUUACAACUCAGAGGAUUCCCU